GAUGAACGCUGGCGGCGUGCCUAAUACAUGCAAGUCGAGCGAACAGAUGAGGAGCUUGCUCCUCUGACGUUAGCGACGGACGGGUGAGUAACACGUGGAUAACCUACCUAUAAGACUGGGAUAACUUCGGGAAACCGGAGCUAAUACCGGAUAAUAUAUUGAACCGCAUGGUUCAAUAGUGAAAGACGGUUUUGCUGUCACUUAUAGAUGGAUCCGCGCCGCAUUAGCUAGUUGGUAAGGUAACGGCUUACCAAGGCAACGAUGCGUAGCCGACCUGAGAGGGUGAUCGGCCACACUGGAACUGAGACACGGUCCAGACUCCUACGGGAGGCAGCAGUAGGGAAUCUUCCGCAAUGGGCGAAAGCCUGACGGAGCAACGCCGCGUGAGUGAUGAAGGUCUUCGGAUCGUAAAACUCUGUUAUUAGGGAAGAACAAAUGUGUAAGCAACUAUGCACGUCUUGACGGUACCUAAUCAGAAAGCCACGGCUAACUACGUG
rnacentral:rRNA from 1 species